rnacentral:siRNA from 1 species
UGGGCACUCUCGGUGUUUCCC